UGUCUCCUUUUGCUAACAGUCAGAUAUAUGGGAACUAUUACUGGAAUUGACGAUAUCGAUGCAGCUCGAUGGCUCUAAAUGGCGCUUCCUAAAGGUAAAGAGUCUUGUCUUCUAUAUAGGUCGGUUGGGACAAGCACGCGGCUAGCAAAAGACAGGAGAUAGAGCCCCAAUGUGAGGCCAAGGGAAAAAUUUCCCUACAGCUCUCUAUUCUGAGGCUAAGAUAACUCCAAGAGUUACUGAGGGUCACAGUGUUCCUGGUUUUCUUUCUGGAUUUCCAAGUCCCGGAAACGAGGGGCUACCAUCUCAUCAUAAAGUCGAUAUGCACCAGCAGCAGCUUAGGCUUUGCGUUCAGCAGUUUCGAGAGCAGAAGGUUCCUCCACAAUUCUAGAGACUGCAGCAGCCUUCUCCAACCAGCAGCUUCGCUUAUUGGCAAGCAGCAUUAAGUUGCCCAGUCUACUUGCAGCCUCAACUACAACAGACAACUCUUUUCUUAAGCAUCUCAUGCCUCACAGAGGUGAGGAGCCCCUUGCGAGAGGUAAUGCAAACGAUUCUCACUGCAAGUGCAAACUAUUUGGUUUCUCGUCUCGUUGAAACCAAAGACAGCUUUGGCCAGCACCGCCAAAGACAACGUCCACAAGGAUCUCGAGUUGGAAACUUCCGGCUUCAGGAAGUGUUUUACUGGCCAGAACCGGAACCAGCAGCAGCAACAACAGCAACCAAGCAGGACGUGCACCAAAUUCACAAACAGGGUGCAGUGUGACGAGCUUUGGACUUGUCCAAGUUUUGGGGAUUAUACAUGCAACACGCAACUUCUGGAGGAGCUGCAGCAUCUGUUCGGCAUUAACGAGAACCUGAACGUGUGUACGUAGAUAAUGAA